UACGUAGGUGGCAAGCGUUAUCCGGAUUUAUUGGGCGUAAAGGGAACGCAGGCGGUCUUUUAAGUCUGAUGUGAAAGCCUUCGGCUUAACCGGAGUAGUGCAUUGGAAACUGGGAGACUUGAGUGCAGAAGAGGAGAGUGGAACUCCAUGUGUAGCGGUGAAAUGCGUAGAUAUAUGGAAGAACACCAGUGGCGAAAGCGGCUCUCUGGUCUGUAACUGGCGCUGAGGGUCGAAAGCGUGGGUAGCAAACAGG
rnacentral:rRNA from 1 species